rnacentral:rRNA from 1 species
UGAGGAAUAUUGGUCAAUGGACGAGAGUCUGAACCAGCCAAGUAGCGUGCAGGAUGAUGGCCCUAUGGGUUGUAAACUGCUUUUAUAAGGGAAUAAAGUGAGCCUCGUGAGGCUUUUUGCAUGUACCUUAUGAAUAAGGACCGGCUAAUUCCGUGCCAGCAGCCGCGGUAAUACGGAAGGUUCGGGCGUUAUCCGGAUUUAUUGGGUUUAAAGGGAGCGUAGGCCGGAGAUUAAGCGUGUUGUGAAAUGUAGUGGCUCAACUCUGCACUGCAGCGCGAACUGGUU